rnacentral:rRNA from 1 species
UACGUAGGGGGCUAGCGUUGUCCGGAUUUAUUGGGCGUAAAGAGCGUGUAGGCGGCCAGGUAAGUCACCUGUGAAAACUCUGGGCUCAACUCAGAGCCUGCAGGCGAAACUGCCGUGCUGGAGUGUGGGAGAGGUGCGUGGAAUUCCUGGUGUAGCGGUGAAAUGCGCAGAUAUCAGGAGGAACACCAAUGGCGAAGGCAGCUCACUGGGACGGUAUUGACGCUGAGACGCGAAAGCGUGGGGAGCAAACAGG